GAUGAACGCUGGCGGCGUGCUUAACACAUGCAAGUCGAACGAAUCACUUAAGAUUGAUUCUUCGGAUGACGUCUUUUGUGUCUUAGUUGCGUACGGGUGAGUAACGCGUUGGUAACCUGCCUCACACAGCGGGAUAACAGUUAGAAUUCACUGCUAAUACCGCAUAACCCGAUCGGCUCACAUCAUCCAGACAGAAAAGAUUUAUGGGUGUGAGAUGGGCCCGCGUCUGAUUACCUAGUUGGUGAGGGAACCGCCCACCAAGGCGACGAUCAGUAACCGGACUGAGAGGGUGAACGGCCACAUUGGGACUAAGACACGGCCGAAAAUACUACGGGAGGCAGCAGUGGGGAAUAUUGCACAAUAGGGGAAAUCCUGAUGCAGCGAGGCCGAGUAAGUGAAGAAGGAUGUCGGUAUGUAAAGCUCUAUAAGAAGGGAAGAAAAUGACGUUACCAAAAUAAGAAGCCCCGGCUAACUACGUG
rnacentral:rRNA from 1 species